rnacentral:misc_RNA from 1 species
GAUGAAGAACGUAGUGAAAUGCGAUAAGUAAUGUGAAUUGCAGAAUUUAGUGAAUCAUCGAAUCUUUGAACGCAUAUUGCGCCCGCCAGCACUCUGGCGGGCAUGCCUGUUCGAGCGUCAUUACAACCCUCAGGCCCCCGGGCCUGGCGUUGGGGAUCGGCGGAAGCCCCCUGCGGGCACAACGCCGUCCCCCAAAUACAGUGGCGGUCCCGCCGCAGCUUCCAUUGCGUAGUAGCUAACACCUCGCAACUGGAGAGCGGCGCGGCCACGCCGUAAAACACCCAACUUCUGAAUGUUGACCUCGAAUCAGGUAGGAAUACCCGCUGAACUUAAGCAUAUCAAUAAGCGGAGGA